AUACCAAGUGCCAUUUAAUGGCUAAACCUUAAUACUGCAAUUAUCCUUCACUUUCUCCAGGGCUUUUAACUGAGUGCACAUGAGUGGCCUUUCAGAAAAAUGGGUGGAAGGAGUGAAUACUUGGCAAUAAUUGGCCCUUGAAGUGGAGGCUCAAUCAGCCGGGCUCUGAUUGGAACCACCUAGAAACCACACCCCCGAAUAGCUUUCCAGCAGCUGAGAAUUCACGGAAGAGAAAAGAGAUGGGAUCAUGCCCAAUGCCACCAGCACAAAGGAUCCAUCUGCCUCCAGAAUGAAAGUUUCACCUUUCAGGCAUAGGAAAUGUAAUCUGUUAUGGAACACCUGGGCCAUUUAAAGACACCAUGAUGCAGAGUGGUGCCAACUGUUUUUCUUCUGAAGGAAAAGCACAAUGACCAAAGAAACGCCUACAAACGAGUUACUGUUCCUCUCACAAUACAGUAUUGGAAUAGACUGUUUGUUACUCGCAUAACAUUCUACUGAAAUACAUUUUUGGCACUCUUCCAAAUGGCAUUAAAACUGUGCAAUACAAUGAAAAUGUAAAUUUCAGUGGAGAUCUUAUAAAAAAGCUUUUAGCCUAUCUCAAUGUCUAUUCUUAAUUUAGUUAAGGAAAUAAGUUGAUGAAACAGAAUUGGCUGGAGAAGAUCUUUAUCUCCUAGAAAAAGUCACUUCCAGAAAGCACCGGCCUUUUAACAGGGAUCACAUUAUCAUAAUCAUCGGCAAAAUUGAAUGCCCCAAAUCCUAAUAAAAUGUAUAGA
rnacentral:lncRNA from 1 species